ACAUGCUCCUCCGGGGCCACUCAGGUCUGCCCUGUGCCCUUCAUCAUGCCUUCAGACAUGCUCUCAGAGGGACUGGUCCUUCGUGGGUUCUGGGGACCUGGAUUCUGCUCCCAUCUCCACAUCCGUGGUGCCCACCUCAUGCCUCUGCCCUCUGACCGCCAGGAGACCCCCCAAUCUAUUCUGUGAUCAACACAGAGAUCCUUGGGGGCCCUGAAACGGGAACACCUAGGUGCUCUUGGUGCUUCUGUGUCCACAGCAUAGCAGGGCCAAGAGGACUUCCUGGGGCCACUGUGUGACAUGAGAGCUCCCUGCUGGGCCUUGUGGUCAUGGCUCUCUGCUGAUUUCUCUGACCGCCACCACAGUUCCGGCUUCCAGAACCCUUCCUGGAUCAGAAGGAGUGAAGGUAACAGGGCAUUCGGGGCCGCGCCGAACUCCCCCCCUUCUCAGGCGCGCGGGGAAUUCAGGCCAAGCACCGUCCAGCCUUCCUUCCACCUCUACCACCAUCGACAGGCGGUUACAACAGCAAAGGAAAACACAAAAGCAGCGAACAAAAAACCCGCUGCUGGUGAGAUGCUGCACUCUUCCAUCUCCUAUCACACUGGCGAGGCACCCGCCCAGGGAUCUAGGGACUGAGGGGCUCCCACUCCGCUGUCCCGCCCACUGUCCCCCAAACAACUGUUUACCUCCUUACUAGCCCUGCUGGCCUCUCUCCGGCACAGGUGCGGCUG